GAUGAACGCUGGCGGCGUGCCUAAUACAUGCAAGUCGAGCGAACGGACGAGAAGCUUGCUUCUCUGAUGUUAGCGGCGGACGGGUGAGUAACACGUGGAUAACCUACCUAUAAGACUGGGAUAACUUCGGGAAACCGGAGCUAAUGCCGGAUAAUAUUUUGAACCGCAUGGUUCAAAAGUGAAAGACGGUCUUGCUGUCACUUAUAGAUGGAUCCGCGCUGCAUUAGCUAGUUGGUAAGGUAACGGCUUACCAAGGCAACGAUGCAUAGCCGACCUGAGAGGGUGAUCGGCCACACUGGAACUGAGGCACGGUCCAGACUCCUACGGGAGGCAGCAGUAGGGAAUCUUCCGCAAUGGGCGAAAGCCUGACGGAGCAACGCCGCGUGAGUGAUGAAGGUCUUCGGAUCGUAAAACUCUGUUAUUAGGGAAGAACAUAUGUGUAAGUAACUGUGCACAUCUUGACGGUACCUAAUCAGAAAGCCACGGCUAACUACGUG
rnacentral:rRNA from 1 species